CAUCACCGAGCUCUCACUGAAAGCUGACAGUCCAUUGGUCUCCUCUCCAUCACCGAGCUCUCACUGAAAGCUGACAGUCCAUUGGUCUCCUCUCCAUCACCGAACUCUCACUGAAAGCUGAUGGGGCUGGUUUCCCGGACCCAGAUGAAACACACUCAUGGACCCAGAGAUGAAACACACUCAAGGACCCAGAUGAAAACAUACUUAUGGACCCAGAUGAAAACAUACUUAUGGACCCAGAUGAAAACAUACUUAUGGACCCAGAUGAAAACAUACUCAUGGACCCAGAUGAAACACACUCAUGGACCCAGAUGAAAACAUACUCAUGGACCCAGAUGAAACACACUCAUGGACCCAGAUGAAACAUACUCAUGGACUAAAACACUCUUUCAUUGAGAAUCUCCAUUGAAAGUGCUUCUUAGUCCAGGGGCUGUUAUGUAUCAUGUGUCUCAGAGGAGGAGUGCUGAUCUAGGAUCAGGUUCCCCCUGUCCAUAUAAUUGUAUUUGUUAUAAUCUUAAAGACAAAACAGAUCCUAGAUCAGCUCUGAGACCAUUGAUGCGGCCCCAGGAAUGUAGGCCUGAUCUGAGUGCAGGACUCUCCUAUACUGUCCGAUAAUGGAGGUAUACUGUAAUAUACCUUUUUGUUUUGUAGAACAGAGUAACUUCCCCCCCCCAAAAAAAACUGAUCCUUGAAAUAAAGCGAUUUUUUUUGUGUUUUUAUAUUCUCAAUCUCCCUCCACUUUCUUUUCAAAGUAACCCACUAGCUCGGUUUCCAUCUAACUGACGGGAGAUGUUCAAUGCGAAUAUUGUAAAAUCUGCAUAAAAACAAUAUGCAAAUUU